rnacentral:rRNA from 1 species
UACGUAGGGUGCGAGCGUUAAUCGGAAUUAUUGGGCGUAAAGGGAGUGUAGGCUGCUUGUUAAGUCUUCUGUGAAAUCUACGGGCUCAGCCUGUAACGUGCAGAGGAAACUGGCGAGCUUGAGUGUCGGAGAGGAUAGGGGAAUACCCGGUGUAGAGGUGAAAUUCGUAGAGAUCGGGUGGAACACCAGUGGCGAAGGCGCCUAUCUGGCUGACAACUGACGCUGAGACUCGAAAGCAUGGGGAGCAAACAGG